UUUAUUUCAUAAUAGUUCUAUUCAGAACAAAAAGAUCCAUGUCCAUAUAGUUCGUUAAAGAACAAAGAGGAUCUAUGUUUUUGGUUGAAUAAAGUCCACUUGCCAACGGCCUUGUCUUGGUAAUCCUUUUUGAAGGAAGGCUUGACAGCAAAAAGGGUCAUACCUGCAACAAUCUGGCAGAUCUGCCUGAACACCUUCCAGCAUAGCCACAAUAACCAUAAGUAGAAAAACCAUGAUCACUUUCUUAGUAAAGCUCAU
rnacentral:lncRNA from 1 species